rnacentral:rRNA from 1 species
UAGGGAAUUUUCGGCAAUGGGGGCAACCCUGACCGAGCAACGCCGCGUGAGUGAAGAAGGUUUUCGGAUCGUAAAGCUCUGUUGUAAGUCAAGAACGAGUGUGAGAGUGGAAAGUUCACACUGUGACGGUAGCUUACCAGAAAGGGACGGCUAACUACGUGCCAGCAGCCGCGGUAAUACGUAGGUCCCGAGCGUUGUCCGGAUUUAUUGGGCGUAAAGCGAGCGCAGGCGGUUUGAUAAGUCUGAAGUUAAAGGCUGUGGCUCAACCAUAGUUCGCUUUGGAAACUGUCAAACUUGAGUGCAGAAGGGGAGAGUGGAAUUCCAUGUGUAGCGGUGAAAUGCGUAGAUAUAUGGAGGAACACCGGUGGCGAAAGCGGCUCUCUGGUCUGUAACUGACGCUGAGGCUCGAAAGCGUGGGGAGCGAACAGGAUUAGAUACCCUGGUAGUCCACGCCGUAAACGAUGAGUGCUAGGUGUUGGAUCCUUUCCGGGAUUCAGUGCCGCAGCUAACGCAUUAAGCACUCCGCCUGGGGAGUACGACCGCAAGGUUG